CCUACGGGAGGCAGCAGUAGGGAAUAUUGCUCAAUGGGCGAAACUCUGAACCAGCAACGCCGCGUGAAGGAUGAAGGCUUUAGGAUUGUAAACUUCUUUUUUUAGAGAAGAUUAUGACGGUAUCUAACUUAUAAGCACCAGCUAACUCCGUGCCAGCAGCCGCGGUAAUACGCAUGGUGCAAGCGUUACUCGGAUGCACGGGGCGUAAAGAGUGCGUAGGCGGGGGAAUAAGUCAGAUGUGAAAUCCUGUGGCUCAACUGCAGAACUGCAUUUGAAACUGUUAGUCUGGAGUGUAGGAGAGGUAGGUGGAAUUCUUGGUGUAGGGGUGAAAUGCGUAGAGAUAAAGAAGAAUACUCAUUGCGAAGGCGAACUACUGGAAGAUAACUGACGCUGAUGCGCGAAAGCGUGGGGAGCAAACAGGAUUAGAUACCCGAGUAGUC
rnacentral:rRNA from 1 species